CAAACCACCCGCGGCGAGAGCAGCUGCAAACAGCGCCCGGAGCAGGAGAGAGAGGAGUGGACAGCGCCCUGACCCGCCCCCAGCGCAGGCUCCACCUGCCCAGCCAGGGCCCAGAGAGUGGCACAGUGCUUGAAGCACCGCAACAUCCCUUUGGACUUGAGAUCUGGAGCCGCCCUUGACGAGCCAGUCAUUGAGUUACGGGUGGAUCUGGAUACCCCGGCGCCUGCGGGUCCUGCCAUCGAAGGGCAGAUCCUUCAAGGACUGCUGGGCCUUGGUGGACAACCCAGAGAGGAGCAGCCAAGAAACUCACCACAUUGAGAUAGCGGAAGCCAUGGUGUGGGCAGCAGCGUCCGGAGCUCUGGCGUCCGGAGCCUGCCUGGAGGGUUGCCCUGGCUGCAGUUGUGCCCUCAUUGAGGAUCACUCGGAACUCCUUGGAAGCCUUGGGAAGUGACCCUUCAAACUUGGCCAUGGCUUGCCACAUAUUAAAGUCAUAUCGGCCAAAGACGGGUUGGUGGUUGGCCACUCUCAGCUGAAGGCUGGAAGACGAAUAA